GACGUAGGGCGCGAGCGUUGUCCGGAUUUAUUGGGCGUAAAGAGCUCGUAGGCGGCGUGUCGCGUCGACCGUGAAAACUUGUGGCUCAACUACAAGCUGGCGGUCGAUACGGGCAGGCUGGAGUUCGGUAGGGGAGACUGGAAUUCCUGGUGUAGCGGUGAAAUGCGCAGAUAUCAGGAGGAACACCGGUGGCGAAGGCGGAUCUCUGGGCCUUGCCUGACGCUGAGGCGCGAAAGCUAGGGGAGCGAACAGG
rnacentral:rRNA from 1 species